rnacentral:rRNA from 1 species
GACGAACGCUGGCGGCGUGCUUAACACAUGCAAGUCGAACGGUGAAGCGCCUUCCUUUUUGGUGGGUGUGGAUGAGUGGCGAACGGGUGAGUAACACGUGAGUAACCUGCCCCCUUCUUCUGGAUAACCGCAUGAAAGUGUGGCUAAUACGGGAUAUUCUGGGUCUGUCGCAUGAUGGGUCUGGGAAAGAUAUUGUUUCGGUUGGGGAUGGGCUCGCGGCCUAUCAGCUUGUUGGUGGGGUGAUGGCCUACCAAGGCGGUGACGGGUAGCCGGCCUGAGAGGGUGGACGGUCACACUGGGACUGAGACACGGCCCAGACUCCUACGGGAGGCAGCAGUGGGGAAUAUUGCACACUGGGCGCAAGCCUGAUGCAGCGACGCCGCGUGAGGGAUGGAGGCCUGCGGGUUGUGAACCUCUUUCGCCAGUGAAGCAGGCCUGCCUCGUUUGUGGGUGGGUUGACGGUAGCUGGAUAAGAAGCGCCGGCUAACUACGUG